UCCCCGUUGCCAGGGCAGUCUGAUUAGAAAAAUACAACUAAUCACAAGGGUUGCGCUCGUUGAUGGACUUAACCAAACAUCUCACGACACGAGCUGACGACGGCCAUGCAUCAUCUGUCACCGAGUUCCCCGUACUUAUCUCAACUAUACCUAUGACUUUAAAAUCACAGCGUUGAAACAACUACGGGGCACUCAAUCCUUUCGGAUUAAUUCUCGGGAUGUCAAACCUAGGUAAGGUUCUUCGGUUAUCAUCGAAUUAAAGAACAUAAUCCACCGCUUGUGCGGCUCCCCGUCAAUUCCUUUAUGUUUUAGUCUUGCGACCGUACUCCACAGGCGGGAUACUUAACGCGUUAGCUUCGCUACUGAAGGGGUCGAUACCUCCAACAGCUAGUAUCCAUCG
rnacentral:misc_RNA from 1 species